ACGCACGCUGGCGGCGUGCUUAACCCAUGCAAGUCGAACGGAAAGGCCUUUUCGGAGGUACUCGAGUGGCGAACGGGUGAGUAACACGUGGGUGAUCUGCCCUGCACUCUGGGAUAAGCCUGGGAAACUGGGUCUAAUACCGGAUAGGACCGCACUUUAGUGUGUGUGGUGGAAAGUUUUUUCGGUGUAGGAUGAGCCCGCGGCCUAUCAGCUUGUUGGUGGGGUAAUGGCCUACCAAGGCGGCGACGGGUAGCCGGACUGAGAGGUUGGUCGGCCACAUUGGGACUGAGAUACGGCCCAGACUCCUACGGGAGGCAGCAGUGGGGAAUAUUGCACAAUGGGCGCAAGCCUGAUGCAGCGACGCCGCGUGGGGGAUGACGGCCUUCGGGUUGUAAACUCCUUUCGCCAGGGACGAAGCGUUUUGUGACGGUACCUGGAGAAGAAGCACCGGCUAACUACGUG
rnacentral:rRNA from 1 species